UAAGCUUAGGUGUUUUGCACAUUAGAAUUUGAAGCUAAGGGUUAUAAAUUUAUAAAGCUUAA
rnacentral:tRNA from 1 species